GUGUGUGUUUUUCUGAAGCUGUUCCUGGAUGAGCAAAAUAAGAAUAAAAUUACCUAUAAAGAAAUUGUAAGGCAGAAUUAUCGAUGCGAUGAUCACUUUUCGCAUCAGCAGAAGAAUUUUCAAUGCGGUUGGUAUAUAUUCCAACCAACAAGGGCAAGGGAUAAGACAAGCUGUCAUGGGAAGAAAAAAAGAAAAAAUAAAUCAAAGGAUACAAUAGAAACAUCCUACAUCAUAAAAUAAAAAUAAUCAGCUAUAAUCCCUGUUCAAUCCAGGUAGCCCAGAUAAAAACACAUAAAAUUGUAUGAAAAUUUUGGAUUCCCUGUUUCAAAUACACAAAAGUUUACAAUAAGUUCCCAAAGAACCAUCUACAAGCGUGAUAAUAUGUCGCUGGCAAGGGCUCUGCUCAAGAUGCUCAGGGCAGGCGUGGGAUCCAGGUCUAUGAAAUAGUGACACAUAUACUUUUCCAUCACAUCUUACAUGACAUUGACGAAAUCAUCUGUGCUAUUCGGCACUAGUGCAAGCCAUUAAUUCUAAAUUCAUUCAUUACUUUUCCAUAAAAGAGUAAUUGAAAGAAAAAAAAAGUCAGCGUCGGACCACGUCCUAGCUUUAUUAGGCAGUCUCACAAGACUGUUGAUUUGUAGUUCUAAUAAAAAAACGCCUGUGGUAUUACAAUAAUUCAUACAUGUUUAACAAAAGACAUGGGCAUUUCGAGCCCGUGGAUGUUAAUUACCAACAUUACCAAUAACAUAGCGAAUAGGAAAAAGGGCGGAAAAAGAAUCGCAGCAGGUGGAAAAUAGAGAAAGAAUAAUAUUGUUGAAUGUAAUUUUAUAGCAAAUAAUUAAUAAAAUAAUCAAACAAUAAAAAA